UGCAUAGAAAAUAACAUUGUCAGACGUGUCAUCCCCAGAUACAAUGGACAAUAUGCUAUUAUAAUCGUAUGGCAUUGUCCUUGCUGUUUGGAGAUAAUACUGCUGACUUUAUUCCUCUCAUACAUGU
rnacentral:precursor_RNA from 1 species